UUGAACGCUGGCGGAAUGCUUUACACAUGCAAGUCGAACGGCAGCACGGGGGCAACCCUGGUGGCGAGUGGCGAACGGGUGAGUAAUACAUCGGAACGUGCCCAGUCGUGGGGGAUAACGUAGCGAAAGCUACGCUAAUACCGCAUACGAACUCUGGUUGAAAGCGGGGGAUCGCAAGACCUCGCGCGAUUGGAGCGGCCGAUGGCAGAUUAGGUAGUUGGUGGGGUAAAGGCCUACCAAGCCGACGAUCUGUAGCUGGUCUGAGAGGACGACCAGCCACACUGGGACUGAGACACGGCCCAGACUCCUACGGGAGGCAGCAGUGGGGAAUUUUGGACAAUGGGCGAAAGCCUGAUCCAGCCAUUCCGCGUGCAGGAUGAAGGCCCUCGGGUUGUAAACUGCUUUUGUACGGAACGAAACGGUCUUGGUUAAUACCUGAGGCUAAUGACGGUACCGUAAGAAUAAGCACCGGCUAACUACGU
rnacentral:rRNA from 1 species